GCUGGUUUGCUCAGGCAAAAACCUCUUCUCUUUUGGGAAGGGGAAGCCGAGGAGGAAGAGGCAGCAGAGGAAGAAGAGAAGUGGUUCUGCUUUCUCCGCGGCAACGGCGACGGC
rnacentral:ribozyme from 1 species